rnacentral:rRNA from 1 species
UACGUAGGAGACGAGCGUUGUCCGGAGUUACUGGGCGUAAAGGGUGCGUAGGCGGUUGUUUAAGUUUGGUGUGAAAUCUCCCGGCUCAACUGGGAGGGUGCGCCGAAUACUGAAUGACUAGAGUGCGGGAGAGGAGAGUGGAAUUCCUGGUGUAGCGGUGAAAUGCGUAGAUAUCAGGAGGAACACCGGUGGUGAAGACGGCUCUCUGGACCGUAACUGACGCUGAGGCACGAAAGCGUGGGUAGCAAACAGG